rnacentral:rRNA from 1 species
UUAAAAAGCUCGUAGUUGGAUCUCGGCGAACAGGGGGCGGUUCGUUAUUUGACGGUACUGCCCCAUUUGUUCGUAUUUUUGCAAGAGGAUUGGGGGUCCCCUUUGUUGGGUGUCUCCGGUCGCUUGCAGGUUUACUUUGAAAAAAUUAGAGUGCUCAAAGCAGGCUUACACGCUUGAAUAUUCGUGCAUGGAAUAAUAGAAUAGGAAGUCGUUUCUAUUUUGUUGGUUUUCGGAAAAUGACUUAAUGAUUAAUAGGGACAAUCGGGGGCAUUAGUAUUCAAACGACAGAGGUGAAAUUCUUGGACCGUUUGAAGACUAACUACUGCGAAAGCAUUUGCCAAGAGUGUUUUCAUUAAUCAAGAACGAAAGUUAGAGGUUCGAAGGCGAUCAGAUACCGCCCUAGUUC